rnacentral:lncRNA from 1 species
GUGGGGAGGAAAUGCUUUAUCUGGUCUUCGGUGCAAUCGAUGACGUGCGUCAUUUGAAUAAAGGCAAAAACGUGAUUCGUCAGGCCAUAUUAUAUUCUGCUGGUCAGCAACUGUCCACGGUGACUUCUGUUCGGUGACUUCUAGCCCACUGAAGUCGCGCAGCUUUAUGCGCCUGUGUGAGUAAUGGCCACUUACGAGUUGUUCGACUACAAAUGUUCAUUGCACGCCGCUCCCGUCACAAUGUUCUCUAACUAACAGCUAAUUGCCUUUCAUCAAGUUGCGGCAGUGCGCACGCAGAUGAGCACAUCACUUGACCACUGCGUAAUCUUACGAAACUUGACGAUUCAUCGGUGCUUGCGCAAAUAGGCCAGAAAUGUCAUUACCCAUACAGUUCGGUAAUUUUACCAGAAUUCCACAGCAACCCUACAAGUCACAGCCUCUACACCUCCCUAAAGAGCAUUCCUUAAAAGAUGGGAACAAUGUUACAGCAGCUGUUAAUUAACAAUGUUAAUGUUAACAGCAGCUAAUUUUGAAUUCUACUGAUAUUUAUGUUAUAUGCAUUAAAAAUUCAUCAUGCAAUAUACUUUUCAAUUGAAACAAAAUUAGCACUGUUAUAACUUUUUUUUCAUUAAUAUUUGAUUAUCUUGAACAAUA